rnacentral:rRNA from 1 species
GACGAACGCUGGCGGCGUGCCUAAUACAUGCAAGUAGAACGCUGAAGGAGGAGCUUGCUCUUCUGGAUGAGUUGCGAACGGGUGAGUAACGCGUAGGUAACCUGCCUGGUAGCGGGGGAUAACUAUUGGAAACGAUAGCUAAUACCGCAUAAUAGUAGAUGUUGCAUGAUAUUUACUUAAAAGGUGCAAUUGCACCACUACCAGAUGGACCUGCGUUGUAUUAGCUAGUUGGUGGGGUAACGGCUCACCAAGGCGACGAUACAUAGCCGACCUGAGAGGGUGAUCGGCCACACUGGGACUGAGACACGGCCCAGACUCCUACGGGAGGCAGCAGUAGGGAAUCGUCGGCAAUGGACGAAAGUCUGACCGAGCAACGCCGCGUGAGUGAAGAAGGUUUUCGGAUCGUAAAGCUCUGUUGUAAGAGAAGAACGAGUGUGAGAGUGGAAAGUUCACACUGUGACGGUAUCUUACCAGAAAGGGACGGCUAACUACGUG